AAUUUAGAAGAUAUUUUAUAUCUGGAUCAAAAUUUGUGUGAAUUAGUUGAUGAUUUCAAUAUAAUUUUCGGUGGGAAUAUAUUUUUGCAAUUUCUAUACAUGUCACUUAUAAUUAUUUAUUCAUACACGGUUAUGUUUACACAUGAACGUAAACCUUCAUUAUAUUAUAAUGUUGUAUGGAUUAUUUACAUGGUUAUUCAAGCGGUUAUACUGACGUCACUCUGUGAGAACAUAACCAAACAAGUACGAAAGACUACCAGCAUAUGCUACAAGUCUAUUGCAUUCUAUCGAAAAGUUCCGGUGAUUAAAAACUCACUGUUUGUCUUGACGCAGAACAGGUUGCACGGCUAUUCGAACAUUUCAGCGGCGGGAUUUUUUAAUAUAAAAUUUACAACGAUUUUUACGCUGUUGAAUAUGUUGACGAGUUAUGCCAUUGUUGUCAUGCAGUUCACAAGUAAUAAAAUAAAUUAAAAUUGCUAAAAUUGUAGAUAGCAAUGGUAAUAUUUUUAAAAAUUAGUUUAAAACACACACAGAGUGCGAAAUUUAAUUAUUUUUGUUUGUAAAGUGCUAGUGUAAUUAGUAUAAUGCGUGUUUUGAUUGUGUCCGUGGCGAUUUUAUACUUAAUUCUUAAUAUUCAGAGUGUUUCCGGUUUAUUUGAAUUUUUAUUAUUUCCUUAUAUAAAUUCUGGACAAAUUAAUCGUGAGAUAAGUCUUGAACGUGCUAGAAAUUUUCGACAAUUACUGGAAAUAUCCAAUAGAGAACGACGAGAUUUUGAUAAAAAUUAAAUGGUUUGCAAAGAAGAUACACUUUACAAAUACGUAAUUUAUUAGCAUCUUUAGCUAGAGAUGAAAAUAACAUUGUGCGAAGAAUGCAGAAUGCACCUUUGGAAUGUCGAAAAAUAGAAGAAGUACGUGAGUACGUUCGAAUUAGUCGUGAGGCUUUAACUGAACAACAAAGGAGAGAUAUUGUCAGAGAAAUUAAAGCAACUCCUCAGGUUGCAAGGAUUUAUGAAAAUUUUGUCACAAAUGAUCAGGAUAUUCGGAGGGAAUUAGCAAAAUGUAGACCUGGAUUCACAAAUUGUGUUAUUGAUAGAACUGCGUUUAUUGAUAUUCGGCAGUCAAUGAUUACCACACGUCAAGAUGUACAGAGAGUACUCAGAAAUGCCAAUAAUGCAAUUAAUAUUACGGAUAAUGGUGGUAUGAAUAAUUUUCUUCAAGAAUUAAGACAAUGUUUGAAUAAUAAUAAUCAAUUGUGGUAUUAAAUAAUCUACAAUAAUAUUUUUUUGAAAAAUUAUAAAUAAUUUUACAGCUAUUAUAUUAAAAGCUUUAUACUGUUAGAAAGAUAACAAAAUUCAUCAAAAUGUGCAUAAUAAUUAUGUCCCUGAGUAUAUAUUUCGACUUUUGAAUCAGUAAAAUUUAAAAAAUCAACAAUGUCGUUAAAUAAAUUGGUUGUUUUUGCACUGAUGUGCGUGUGCGUUGCUAAUGCACAGAAUAUCCUUACACGUCCACUGGGUUUGGAUAUUCUGGCUGCAAGAAACCUUCAACAAUUGUUGAAAAUCGCCGAAAAUGAAGAAGUAGCUACCGAAAAACGUAUCCAACAAGUUCAAGACAACCAUAGACUACUUGUUAAAUUGGUGCAACAAGCUGCUAAUACUUUUGUUGUAAGAGUUGAAUCUGGUCCGGAAAACUGUCGUCAGAAUUUAGACCAAAUCAAAGCUUAUAUUGAAAGUCGUAAAGAAUUCUUUGCCACUGAAGCUUCUCGCAAUAUUGUUGGAGAAUUGAAGUCAAAUGAAGCUAUUGCACAAGGUAUUGCUAUUUUCGCCAAAAACGUUGAAGAUAUCAAGAAUAAAAUUGAAAAUACUGUUAAUGGAAACAUUAUUAGGAAUGUCCAGAGUGAGAUGAUUAAAGCAAGGACCAGUAUGGAGAAAUCUAUUGUUGAAGCAGAGGCUGAUCUUAGAAAAGAGAAGUUUGGUAAUGAUGAAAUGAUCAAGUUCAGCUUGGAAUACAACUCAUGUUUGAUUAAAGAAAUAUUUUAAACUCACCAAAAGAACUUUUAAAUAAAUGUAUUGCACGAAACGUUCUCACUUUUCAAAAUUAAUAAAAAAUAAUAAAAUAUAAACACCCUGUA